GAGGAACUGCCCUUCCUGGGCUGGGUCAACCGGUGCUUACCACCUGGCUCAGGAGCCAAGAACGGAACGAGGGGCUGGAGGUGGGGGUGCAUUUCUGCAAAUCUCAGAGAUCAGAGCCCUGAAGGCGGCGGUUGAGAAAGUCCACAGCCCUGGCACUUCCAGGUGUGUGGGCGGGGACUUCUGGAGAGCCCCGCAGCCGCCCUAAGGCAGGUGCCCCCACCACGCUCCUCUGAAGGGGUGCGCCCCCUCUCCGCCCUCCUACCCUCUCCCGUUGCGUCCCAUCCCACCUUCGCGGGCGCUCCGGGAGUCUCCGGGGCAGCCGGGAGGCGUGGCCCGCGGGCGGCCCGCCCCUUUGAUGUGCGCCGGCGCCGCCGUGAUUGGACAGUCGCUUGUGACGUGCGGGGACUGCGGAGGGCCCGGGUGCUGCGGCUGCCGCAGCGCUAGCCGCGGCUCCGGCUCCGGCUCCGGCUCCCGGGCAUUUAAAGGGGACGCGGCGGCGGCCCGGGGGGAUGGGGGGCAGGCGGAGAGGACGGCCCAGACGCACAUCAUCCACGGCCCCUUGGGACUGGAGGGACUCGUGAGCCGGAGCCCAGAAAUACGGGGGUGGCUAAGACACCGCGUCCCCCCCAAUUCCCGAAGGUGGUGCCCGGGUAUCUCUCCCUCCCCGUACUCGGACAAAUCGAAGGAAUCUGUGCCUCCUUGCUCCCUGCCACCCACGAGUCCCCUGGGCUCCCCUCGGCUCCCCGAGCUGCGCACCCCCCGCCCCGCAUUGGAGCGAAGCUCCCGCCAGCUGGGGGUGUGCCAGAGAGCCUGCUUUCCAGCCACCUCUAAAAAUAUCUCUCCCCCAACUCCACCGGCAGCUGCCACCUCCCUGCCCAGUGAGGAUCCCCUCCCGGCUUGUUCACCCAGGCAGGGCGAGCCCCGAGCUCGGAGAUCCUGUCCCCCUUUUCUCUGA
rnacentral:lncRNA from 1 species